rnacentral:rRNA from 1 species
GAACGCUGGCGGCAGGCCUAACACAUGCAAGUCGAGCGGAUGAAGGGAGCUUGCUCCUGGAUUCAGCGGCGGACGGGUGAGUAAUGCCUAGGAAUCUGCCUGGUAGUGGGGGAUAACGUCCGGAAACGGGCGCUAAUACCGCAUACGUCCUGAGGGAGAAAGUGGGGGAUCUUCGGACCUCACGCUAUCAGAUGAGCCUAGGUCGGAUUAGCUAGUUGGUGGGGUAAAGGCCUACCAAGGCGACGAUCCGUAACUGGUCUGAGAGGAUGAUCAGUCACACUGGAACUGAGACACGGUCCAGACUCCUACGGGAGGCAGCAGUGGGGAAUAUUGGACAAUGGGCGAAAGCCUGAUCCAGCCAUGCCGCGUGUGUGAAGAAGGUCUUCGGAUUGUAAAGCACUUUAAGUUGGGAGGAAGGGCAGUAAGUUAAUACCUUGCUGUUUUGACGUUACCAACAGAAUAAGCACCGGCUAACUUCGUG